CCAGCACCAUCGUCGAAGGACAGGAUUUCAUAUUGAGAAGAUGUACUGCAGUAAAUCAAGACUACCAGUUUGUGAGCUGAUAUGCAGUGGAAAUUGACAUCCAGAAGGAAGUCAUAAAGGAAACACCAGCUGAUACAAGUGCUGCAGAGGAUCUUUGCAGAAUUCACUCUAAUAUUAGGAAGAAAUUUAAGAUCCGAGUUCAACGCUGCAUUGGACACACACCGCUC